rnacentral:rRNA from 1 species
GAGCACGUAGGUGGGUUUGUAAGUCAGAUGCGAAAGCCUUCUGUUCAACGGAAGAAUUGCGUCUGAAACUGCGAGUCUUGAGUAUAGGAGGGGAGAAUGGAACUUCUGGUGGAGCGGUGAAAUGCGUAGAUAUCAGAAGGAACGCCGGCGGCAAAAGCGAUUCUCUGGCCUAUUACUGACACUCAGUGUGCGAAAGCUAGGGGAGCAAACGGGAUUAGAUACCCCGGUAGUCCUAGCCGUAAGCGAUGGGCACUAAGUAGAGGGGU